ensembl:lncRNA
GAGAGACAGAACAGAGCACAGAGCCAGGGAUCACUACAGCCACCACCACCGUCACUCGACAGCAAGCAAACACAACAACACGGAGACAAUCUGAAACGCAGGGAGAUUAAAAGAGAGCGAAAGAAAGAAGAGACUGUGGAAAUUCGGCGAAAGGGAAAAUGGAGUUGUGCACCAGCCCCUUCACCCCUUUUAACCUCGCCCCUUCCGUUAACGCUUCUCUUCCCCAGCUGGAGAGAGAGAGUCCAGAUGACCUGGCCCAAAUGAGCGUCAGUGCCCAGUGGGAGAGGGCACAGCUGGUGUUGCGAGCGAUUGCCACCGCCGACAGUCUGUCCUUUCACAGUCCUCCCUCUCUACUUAGCAAGCCCGGCAUUAGCUGUAGUUGCUAGUCCGGGGAGAGAGAAAAAAACACUCACUGGCAACAGAUGUUGUCGGCCAUAUUAGCUAGCUGCUAGGACC